rnacentral:rRNA from 1 species
GACGAACGCUGGCGGCGUGCUUAACACAUGCAAGUCGAACGGAAAGGCCCUGCUUUUGUGGGGUGCUCGAGUGGCGAACGGGUGAGUAACACGUGAGUAACCUGCCCUUGACUUUGGGAUAACUUCAGGAAACUGGGGCUAAUACCGGAUAGGAGCUCCUGCUGCAUGGUGGGGGUUGGAAAGUUUCGGCGGUUGGGGAUGGACUCGCGGCUUAUCAGCUUGUUGGUGGGGUAGUGGCUUACCAAGGCUUUGACGGGUAGCCGGCCUGAGAGGGUGACCGGCCAGAUUGGGACUGAGAUACGGCACAGACUCCUACGGGAGGCAGCAGUGGGGAAUAUUGCACAAUGGGCGGAAGCCUGAUGCAGCAACGCCGCGUGCGGGAUGACGGCCUUCGGGUUGUAAACCGCUUUCGCCUGUGACGAAGCGUGAGUGACGGUAAUGGGUAAAGAAGCACCGGCUAACUACGUG